rnacentral:lncRNA from 1 species
CGUUCAGCUCAUCUCACAAGCAAACAACAUUCAAGAGAAGCCCACCAGCCAAACAGACUCAUCAUCCCCGUUCAGCUCAUGUCACAAGGAAACAUCUGACAAUGUGAGGACAGCAAGCUAGCUCCAAUAAGUGGUUCAAGAAAAGCACAUUUACCAAGGACAUGUCAGAGAGAAAAGCAGAGGAGAAGAAGCUGUGGGCUCCUCCUAGAUGUACUGGCAAUACCAAAAACCUUCUCCAUUAUGAAGUUGCAGCUGAGUGUGCUCCUGUCUUUCAAGCAACCUAGCUUAGAGGACUUCCAUCAGUUGAUGUUCCUGGACUUGUAUUGACUGCAUAGACACUGUGGGCUCCUCCUAGAUGUACUGGCAAUACCAAGAACCUUCUCCUUCCAUGAAGUUGCAGCUGAGUGUGCUCCUGUCUUGCAAGAAACCUAGCUUAGAGGACUUCCAUCAGUUGAUGUUCCUGGACUUGUAUUGACUGCAUAGACACUGUGGGCUUGGUGAUGUACUGGCAAUACCAAGAACCUUCUCCUUCAAUGAAGUUGCAGCUGAGUGUGCUCCUGUCUUGCAAGAAACCUAGCUUAGAGGACUUCCAUCAGUUGAUGUUCCUGGACUUGUAUUGACUGCAUAGACAGUGAGUUGAUUCCAGUGAAGAGAAGUGAUGUCUUGGAAGUUCGAACCUUUAUAAUAACUGUGGGCUCCUCCUAGAUAUACUGGCAAUACCAAGAACCUUCUCCUUCCAUGAAGUUGCAGCUGAGUGUGCUCCUGUCUUGCAAGAAACCUAGCUUAGAGGACUUCCAUCAGUUGAUGUUCCUGGACUUGUAUUGACUGCAUAGACACUGUGGGCUCCUCCUAGAUGUACUGGCAAUACCAAGAACCUUCUCCUUCCAUGAAGUUGCAGCUGAGUGUGCUCCUGUUUUGCAAGCAACCUAGCUUAGAGGACUUCCAUCAGUUGAUGUUCCUGGACUUGUAUUGACUGCAUAGACAGUGAGUUGAUUCCAGUGAAGAGAAGUGAUGUCUUGGAAGUUCGAACCUUUAUAAUAACUGUGGGCUCCUCCUAGAUGUACUGGCAAUACCAAGAACCUUCUCCUUCCAUGAAGUUGCAGCUGAGUGUGCUCCUGUCUUGCAAGAAACCUAGCUUAGAGGACUUCCAUCAGUUGAUGUUCCUGGACUUGUAUUGACUGCGUAGACACUGUGGGCUCCUCCUAGAUGUACUGGCAAUACCAAGAACCUUCUCCUUCCAUGAAGUUGCAGCUGAGUGUGCUCCUGUCUUGCAAGAAACCUAGCUUAGAGGACUUCCAUCAGUUGAUGUUCCUGGACUUGUAUUGACUGCGUAGACACUGUGGGCUUGGUGAUGUACUGGCAAUACCAAGAACCUUCUCCUUCAAUGAAGUUGCAACUGAGUGUGCUCCUGUCUUGCAAGCAACCUAGCUUAGAGGACUUCCAUCAGUUGAUGUUCCUGGACUUGUAUUGACUGCAUAGACAGUGAGUUGAUUCCAGUGAAGAGAAGUGAUGUCUUGGAAGUUCGAACCUUUAUAAUAACUGUGGGCUCCUCCUAGAUAUACUGGCAAUACCAAGAACCUUCUCCUUCCAUGAAGUUGCAGCUGAGUGUGCUCCUGUCUUGCAAGAAACCUAGCUUAGAGGACUUCCAUCAGUUGAUGUUCCUGGACUUGUAUUGACUGCAUAGACACUGUGGGCUUGGUGAUGUACUGGCAAUACCAAGAACCUUCUCCUUCAAUGAAGUUGCAGCUGAGUGUGCUCCUGUCUUGCAAGCAACCUAGCUUAGAGGACUUCCAUCAGUUGAUGUUCCUGGACUUGUAUUGACUGCAUAGACAAAAUGACAGGGUCUGGUAAUCUUCUGCUCUCAGGAAUGAAAAGGGACAAGUCUUCCGUCUUCACAAUAUACAAAAAUGGUCGACAACACUAUGGUUAUGAAUGUAAUAUAACAAUAUACAGAAAGGCUUGUAAAAUCAAAAUCGCACGUAUUUUAGCUAUGUUGCAAUAAUAUGACCAGGGAGGGUACAUUAAGUAAAAUGAGCCAACAAAUGGCCCUGGCAAUUUUGAGGUACAUGUACACAUGUAUGCUCUGUUCAUUAAAUCUCAUUAUCAUUGAAUCAUUAAUGUGCAUAACAACAAUGUUAUGUACAUGUAGUUGAUUGAUAACUGUAGAAAAUACACAAGUCAAACCUAUAAUAUAUAUAUUUAUAUCUAGUUAGAAGAUACAAUGGUUCUAUUCAUAUUUGAACAAUUUACAAUAUGGAAUAUAUGUAUUACUAUAUUCUUCAAGAAGACCCUUUUGAAAUGUUUAUCCAAACAUAUUUGGGAUUUAACAUGUUUAGGAUGUGUUCUCUAUAAACAUUAUAUUUAGUUUUAAUAGUUUUACUGGAUUAGUGUUGUGUUUACCGUACUUAUAAGGCCUCCAAUUUAGUAGGACAACAAAUGCAGAACAUCUAGAUGUAAAAAAAAAAUGGUAUAUGAAUGUCAUGUGCAAUUAACCCGUUGACAACUGAAUUAUCCCAUUCCCAUAGGUUUAAAACAGGAAGCGUCCGGUUCCCGUUGUUAAUGGGUUAAUAAGAUAUUGACUUUGGUCUUCUAAGUUCUAACCAUUUUUUUAAUGAAGGGGUGUGGUAUAUUUCCGAUGAAAUGUGAUAUUUUGAAUUAUUGCUAGUAAACCAUUUAAGAAAUAUAAUUUAAACUAUACAGUGAAAUCUCUUUAUUACGAGGUUCGUGGCACCGAAAGAUUUUGUUUGUUAUCAGUAGUCAAUAAAGAAAACAAAACAAAACAAAUUGAUCUCAUUGUGACUGGAGAAAUAGCUUUUUAUACAGUCAACUCCCGUCAUACCGAGAUGCUUGGGACCAAGCCAAUUAACUUGUUAUAACAAAAUCUUGUUCUACUGAACACACACACACAUAUAUGCACAUGUUUGAAAUUUGGACCGGGAGAAUUCCCUCGUUAUAACAAAAUCUUGUUGUAUAAGCGCUCUUUAUAACAGGAGUGGACUGUAUCAGAACUCUUAUAUAGAGUUUCCACUGUAUAUUGUGUUGCAAUUUAAAUUUCAACUGACAGAAUAACUAUCCCCCCCCCCCCAAGUCUUGAAAUAAUUAUGGUUCAGUAACCACCCCAUCCCCCCACCCCCUCCAAUAUCUUGGCUACAUGUAAUAGCUGGUCCAUUUGCGAGAAAAUUUGCUUCUAUAUACUACAUGUAGUACAUGUCGAAACAUUCGCAAAGAAUUCUGUUGCAUGUUUUUGGUUGAGCCCGCUGAAGGUGGAGGUAGGUUAAGAGUUCUCUGUCCGUCCUUAACUAUAAAUAAACUCUAAUAACUUUGCAGCCAUAGGACCGAUUUCAACUAAACUCAGGUGGUAAAUACACUAAUGGGACCUUCAAAUGUUGUUGGGGUGAAAGUCAAAAGUAGGGUCUAAGGUCAUUUGAGGUUAAAGUUUUACCUGCAAGUUUCAACCGCCUUGUUUUUGUAGACACAUAGGUAGCUUAUUUAUUAUUUUAUUCUACUUCAUGCAAUUUUAAUGCAUAUUUAAUGCAUUAUUUAAUGCAUUAUUUAAGGAAAUAUGGAGGUCAAUGUCAUAUUCAAAGAUUCUGAGCUUAGUUAAAAAUAUUGAAUGGGGGGGGGGGGUAAUUUAUUUCUUUGUUAUUUUCUUGUGUAUUACAUUAUUUUCAUUUCAUAUGUAAUCAAUUUUGGUAUGAUUUUUUUUUUAAUUUCACAAACGUAUAUUGAUAAAAUAGAAGAUGAGCUACAUGUAGAUUUAGAAAAGACUUAAAAGACACGAUUGGCAGUGUUAUGAGGCAAUCAAUGAAAAGCGGUAAUUUGAACACAAGGGUAUCUGAAAUGUCAAUUUUGGCCUUAAAGGACCAAUCUGUAAAAUAAUUGUAGUCAUUAGACUAACAGCAUAUUUAAAUCUCGUACUGGGUAAAAAAAAUUCAUGGCAAUUAUGUCAUAUUUAUUAUUAAACAUCUAAUAAUAAUAUUGCACCAUCUAUGAGGCACAUUAUUUUAUUUCAUUUGUAAAUAAGAUUGUGAGACAUAUUCGAUAUUUAAAGAAUAUAUAAACAUUUAUGCAAAAGUAAAUGGACUAUAGUAAUUUUGAUUUAAAUGUAUUCAAGUUUUCGAAAUCUCAAUAUUUGAUUUUGUUUUGUUUUUGUAUUGACUAUUUCAUAUCGGUCAUCAUAUUAUUGGUCAUAACUGGGGAAAAGAGUAAUUACUACUUAUUUAGAAAAAAAGUCUAGAAUGUUUUGUACAUAAUCUAUUUUGGGGGGCCAACAUGAGGUCCAAAACAAUGUGUCCAAAACAAUAAUGCAGUUUAAUUGGGUAAAAGAGGAAGGAGCAAUACUUGAGAUGUUCCACAUUAAUACAUCCAUGAGGGUAAAUAAUACCUAAAAUUUUGCCCCGGGAUGUUCACCUAUUUUUGAGAAAUUAUUUUGAGCUAUUUUUUGUUUUGUUGUUGUAAUAAUUUACCUGCAGCCAUUUUCUUGUGUUAUGGCUUUUGGUUAAGUUAGGCUAAUUGAAGAAAAUGUAAUAAUAGUUUGAGUGUUGUACAAACUAGACAAGAGAAAUCAACAACAUUGAAGCAUGAUUGUGCCAAUAUGAAAAAUAUCUGUUUAAGUAUAUAUUUAUAAAUUACCUAUAUUUUGGAAAAUUAAUUUCAGGAAAUGUAUUCAGUUAAUAUUUUAUAAUAUACUUGUUGUCGUUUCCUAUUUAAAAGUACUUGUGGUACAUGAAGUGUUGAUUAAAUUCAUUCAACAUGAAUAUUAAAUCUGCUCAAUUUAAUUUGUGCAUUAUUUAUGCUUUGAAGAUCACUUCACUAAUGGUUCAUUCCAUUGCCAGCCACUAUCCAUUUUAUUACGCAAUCGCCUAAAAUUUUCUGGUUUUGACAAAGGAAUAUAACAAUUUCAUCCUCUAAUUGUUGAAAAAUAGUUUUAAAAACAUACAUGUAUGUCUGCUAUAGUAUAGGGAACUCAUGAAAUUAACUGACCUCAAAAUUAACAUGUAAUUAAAAGUAUGAUGUUGAAUUUGAUAUGAUGUGCUAUAGCUUAAUUAAUUUUGAUCCAAAUUGGAAGAAAGCAAGACUUUUCAUUUAAACCCUUCCUGAACCGGGCUAUUUUGAGCUUCGUACUGGGGUUGGGGGGGGGGGGAGGUGGGCCUCAAAGGUCCCCUCCCCUAAUUUCGCCACGAAACUGGGCACGUGAAUCAAAAAGUGCGCAAAGGAAGAGAUCACGCCAUUAUAUUAUUUUUUCUGGAAAUUGCUUAUUUCAUCAAUUAUGCUAAUUUAUGCAAAUUAUAUUAAUAAAUUAUGUUUUUAUUAAUAUUGACAUAAAUAAAGCUUUAACAGAGUUUAUUUCUUGGCAAAAAGUUUCUUAAAAUCUUAUUGGUUAUUACCAGA